rnacentral:rRNA from 1 species
UACGUAGGGGGCAAGCGUUGUCCGGAAUCAUUGGGCGUAAAGCGCGUGUAGGCGGUUCGGUAAGUCUGCUGUGAAAGUCGGGGGCUCAACCCUCGAAUGCCGGUGGAUACUGUCGGGCUAGAGUACGGAAGAGGCGAGUGGAAUUCCUGGUGUAGCGGUGAAAUGCGCAGAUAUCAGGAGGAACACCAAUUGCGAAGGCAGCUCGCUGGGACGUAACUGACGCUGAGACGCGAAAGCGUGGGGAGCAAACAGG